CGAACGUGGGUAACCUGCCCAUCAGAGGGGGAUAACAUUCGGAAACGGAUGCUAAAACCGCAUAGGUCUUCGAACCGCAUGGUUUGAAGAGGAAAAGAGGCGCAAGCUUCUGCUGAUGGAUGGACCCGCGGUGCAUUAGCUAGUUGGUGAGGUAACGGCUCACCAAGGCCGUGAUGCAUAGCCGACCUGAGAGGGUGAUCGGCCACAUUGGGACUGAGACACGGUCCAA
rnacentral:rRNA from 1 species